UACGGAGGGUGCAAGCGUUAUCCGGAUUCACUGGGUUUAAAGGGUGCGUAGGUGGGUCUGUAAGUCCGUGGUGAAAUCUCCAAGCUUAACUUGGAAACUGCCAUGGAUACUAUAGGUCUUGAAUACCGUGGAGGUGAGCGGAAUAUGUCAUGUAGCGGUGAAAUGCUUAGAUAUGACAUAGAACACCAAUUGCGAAGGCAGCUCACUACACAAUCAUUGACGC
rnacentral:rRNA from 1 species